rnacentral:rRNA from 1 species
AUGGAUCGAGCUCGGCGCCUUCUACCCCUUCUCCAUGGACCACGCCAACUUAGCUUCCGCAAGGCAGGAGCUCUACCAGAGGCAGUCUGUGGCGAGGUUGGCACGGAACGCGCUCGGCAUGCGCUACAGGAUGCUCCCGUACCUCUACAUGCUCAACUACCAGGCGCACCUCACCAGCGCGCCGGUGCGCGGCCGCUCUUCUUCUCGUUCCCGGACUUCGCGCCGUGCUACGGCGUGCCCAACCAGUUCCUGCUGGGCGCCGACGUCAUGGUGCCCCCCAUCCUCGAGCAGGGCGCCAGCUCCGUGAACGCCUUGUUCCCACCGGGCAUGUGGUACAACCUUUGCGACACGAGCAAGGCGGUGGUGUCCACGGGCUCCGGCGCAGCCGUCAGGCUCCCCGCGCAGCUGAACGAGGGCAACGUGCACGUGCACGAGGGCACGGUCCUGCCGCUGCAGCGCGGCGGCACCAUCUCCCGGGACGCGCGCGCGACGGCGUUCACGCUGGUGGUCGCGUUCCCGCUCGGCGCGGACAACACGGACGCGGAGGGCGCUGUGUACAUGGACGACGAUGAGCAGCCGGCCAUGGUGCUCGCCGAGGGGCAGGCGACUUAG